CUGCAUCUUUGACAGCCUGGUCUCUCUGUUGUGGGAUAUCCUGGGUUUUAUUUUUUCAGAUGCAACAGUAAAUCCCCCUGCGCUUUCUGCACACCUCUUAAUGGUGUCUCGGAUUGAAUAAGGGAGAACAAAC